rnacentral:rRNA from 1 species
GAUGAACGCUAGCGGCAGGCCUAACACAUGCAAGUCGAGGGGCAGCGGGUGUAGCAAUACAUGCCGGCGACCGGCGCACGGGUGAGUAACGCGUAUGCAACCUACCUCUAACUGGGGAAUAGCUCUGAGAAAUCGGAAUUAAUACCCCAUAAUAUACUUUUGAGGCAUCUCAAAAGAAUUAAAGCUCUGGCGGUUAGAGAUGGGCAUGCGUGCUAUUAGCUAGUUGGUGAGGUAAUGGCUCACCAAGGCUAUGAUGGCUAGGGGGUCUGAGAGGAUGAUCCCCCACAUUGGUACUGAGACACGGACCAGACUCCUACGGGAGGCAGCAGUGAGGAAUAUUGGUCAAUGGGCGCAAGCCUGAACCAGCCAUGCCGCGUGAAGGAUGAAGGCCCUAUGGGUCGUAAACUUCUUUUGUACGGGACGAAACCCCCGAUCGUGAUCGGGGCUGACGGUACUGUACGAAUAAGCAUCGGCUAACUCCGUGCCAGCAGCCGCGGUAACACGGAGGAUGCAAGCGUUAUCCGGAUUCAUUGGGUUUAAAGGGUGCGUAGGCGGAAUAAUAAGUCAGUGGUGAAAGCCUACAGCUUAACUGUAGAAUUGCCAUUGAUACUG